rnacentral:rRNA from 1 species
CACGUAGGGCGCAAGCGUUGUCCGGAAUUAUUGGGCGUAAAGAGCUCGUAGGCGGUCUGUUGCGUCCGCUGUGAAAUCUCGGGGCUUAACCCCGAGCCUGCAGUGGAUACGGGCAGACUAGAGGUAGGUAGGGGAGAAUGGAAUUCCCGGUGUAGCGGUGAAAUGCGCAGAUAUCGGGAAGAACACCCGUGGCGAAGGCGGCUCUCUGGGACGGUACUGACGCUGAGACGCGAAAGCGUGGGGAGCGAACAGG